GGUAUAACUUGUUCAUCCUGAUUAUACAACAAUCGUAUCUGUAUACAAUGACUAUGUCAAGAUGGAGGGCCUCACCAGAGAGUGACUUUGACUUCAGUGAUUUGGGCGACAGUGAUGAGGAGGAGGAAUAGAGGCCUCUUGUCAACUACAGGAGCAUCACUAACACCAGAAACAGAUUGCAGCAGUGAUGAUGGUGAAGACAUGCAAGAAGAGCGAGUAUUGGGGCCCGACAGGAACAGACAGCAGUAUUUCUUGCAUGAUCCUCUUUUUUUCUCCAAAGCCUUUAGCAGAUACAUUAGGUGUUCAUUUUGACCAAACCCCACCAAUUUUCCUCCAGAAACUCUAGAAGACAUCCAAAACUUCCCAAGCAUAACCCGAGAGAAUGUUGUUCCUUCAUCCACCAAGGUCAGGAAAAGUAAGUAUAGAUGAGUCCAAGAUACCAUUUGGAUGAUCCAUGAGACAGCAUGUGGUUAAUCCAGAUUGACUGAAAUGCCUUUUACUAACUACUCCAUGUGGCACUGCUUUUGAUUUUGAGAUUUUUGUUAAUAAGGAAAUCUUGUUUGAUAGCUUCAACCACUAUGGAGUGUAAUCAGGGAAAAAGAUAAGAGUAGGAGAAGUAAUCAUUCUUAGAUUUGUUAAGAUUGUAUUAAAAGGAAUGAAGAUGUACAUUGAUAGGUAUUUUACGGCUCCAUCCAUACUAGUGUAGCAGACGUGUGGUUUACAUGGCACAGACACUUUCAAAAAAAAUGUUUUCCCAAAAGCAGCUAGAUUCAAGACUGAUGGGCAAAUGGGCAAGUUAAGUUGGGGAUCUAGUUAAGAUAAAGUUAUACAGAUGGUGCAUAUGUUGUCACAGUGUCAAAAUCAAAAUGUAAUUUAUUUGGUAUCAACUUUGCAUUCUGUUCAUCCUAGGGACUGGUGCAAGAGAUGGUCACUUUUCUCUUUCUCUUUUGGCUCUCAAAUUAUGAAUGCAUGAGCUAUCAAUGGAAAUUGAUUUCAUUUCCACACUAUUCCACAUUGUAUUUAGUCUUCUGAUUUGCUUCAAAGUUGUAGCUUGAGUUUAUUUCUAUUUAGUGUGUCCAUUAACUAACUUUCUAAUAGCAUGAAAAAAAAAAUUAUUUCGCACAUUGUUAGCAGUUUACUUUCAAUUUUCUCAAGCUUCUUAGCAAUGCUUUAUUUUUGUCAGUGUUUUCUAUAGGAUAUAUGUGC